CACCUGAUAGCACAUGGUGUGCACCUGCAUCACUUGGGCGAGAAAAAUAAUUGAGCAGCAGGAAGCCCCGUUCGAUUCGGGGUCGGGUGA